GAACUGGAGGGUGGCCGCAGCCGUGACUUCCUUGGGAACCGCGCUGCCUCGACUCGGCUACCUCUCUGCGAAGCACUCGCUAAGCCGGGCAGCCCCGGGGUCGCUUAGCGGCCCAGGAGGCGCCAGCGAUCCUGUUCCCCUGCAGAGCUAUGGGGACCGGAAGGCGAAACAGAGCUGUCGACGCGGGAGCAUACGCUGCCCACCAGUGGAGCGCAGGUCAUCAAAGCCGAAUCCGAAUUUGAAUUCUGUGCGGCUGAUUGCAGAGCUGGAGUGCACACAUGCUUCUGUCUUCACAUAUGCACAGCUGAAAGUGAGAUGAUUUCUCUACUCCACAGUUGGGAAGGGGGAUUAGACAACAGAGAAGAUGGAGAAGACAAAAGGGCUUGUGGAAAACUGCAAGUCAACAUUUCUUUGGUAAGGCAGUUACCACACAUGAGCACUGGCUGCCAAGCAAAGACUAUGGUUCACUGAAGAGAACCUGACAGGAGUAGCCACCCCUCUGUUUCAGGCAGUAAUUGCCAUGUGAGACUGUGAUGGUUGUCCAGAUCUUCUGAUUAUUCAAGUAAAGCUGGAAAUUUAGAUUUGUAUUUGAUCCCUCACAUCUUUAAAUGCAGGCAACUAAUUAAAAUUAAAAGAAAACCUUCUGUCCAACAUUUUGCAAUCUCCAAAUUAUUGAAAUUUUUGAAAAGCAGCUGAUGUGUUUUUACGUCAAAGGUAAUUCUUACCAUUUUUACUUUUUCACAAUGGAAAUAGAUUUUUUCUGAUUAUAAAAACACACGUUCAUUUUUAAACUUACCUGUAUUCACACUACCCCAAGAAACCAUUUUUAAACUUUUGAUGUUUUUCCUUGUUGUUUUUCUACUUACUGGGAGGAUGCCAUAUGCACAUCCCAAUAGACAGAAAAUUUCACAUUUUUAAUGUGAAAAUUUUACAAUAGUUGUUUACUCACAUUAGUAGUUAUGCAUCUACAUUAUUAUUUUUAAUAGCUACAUGGUAUUCCAUUGUGUGGUUGACACAUUAUUAAUCCAAUUCUCUAUUGAUGGAUAUUUAGGUGUUUAUAAUUUUUCAUUAUUACAAACAAUACUGGAAUACACAUUCAUAACCACUUUUAAAAACAUGUUCACUAUAUAAGAUGGAGGGAGAAAUUUUAUCAUAGAAGUUUUGUUUUUCAGAGUAGGAAAACCUGGGAUUCAGUACUAGGAUCCAUCUUAGUUCAUACUUUUAUAAAAGGCGUGGAAGACAGAGAACAUACCAAUUUUGCAGUAGAUUUAUUCAAGUAAACUAUGACAAGUCAGCAGUGAAAAAUUGCAGAAACAAGCAAUGAGUGGUCAAGAAAGUGUAAGAUGAACCUCAAUGUGGAAAAGUAUAGUAAUACAUUUAGAGAAACACAUGCCAAACUAUAUAAAGAGUAUUAUCAGAUUAUUACAUAGCACUGCUUGCUGCCACACCAGAGAAAUGAUUCUGUCUCGAUGGGUCAAUUCUUAGAUCAUUUAAUUAUCUGUCAUCGAAAAUGUAGCAAACUUGACAGCAGUAAUAUAUACUAUAAACGUGCAAUAGCAAGAGCAUUGAGCGCUGAACUAGAAAUCACAUCUGAAUUUAGACUGAGCUCAGCUGCUUACUGUGAUUUUGAGAAAAUUGAUUAGCCCCUCUGUGUCUCAGUUUUCAUAUCUGUUUAAUACUUUAUUGUCAUGGUGAUUAUGAAGACCCA
rnacentral:lncRNA from 1 species